rnacentral:rRNA from 1 species
UGAUAGCAUGCGAGUCGAGAGGUGCAAGACCUCGGCGUACUGCUCAGUAACACGUGGACAAUCUGCCCUAAAGUGGAGGAUAAUCCCGGGAAACUGGGGGUAAUACUCCAUAGUUUGUGCUGACUGGAAUGUUACGCAAACGAAAGAUCCGUCGCUUUAGGAUGAGUCUGCGGCCGAUUAGGUAGUUGUUGGGGUAACGGCCCAACAAGCCUGUCAUCGGUACGGGUUGUGGGAGCAAGAGCCCGGAGAUGGAUUCUGAGACACGAAUCCAGGCCCUACGGGGCGCAGCGGGCGCGAAAACUUUACCAUGCGGGCNGCCGUGAUAAGGAAACCCCGAGUGCCAGCACAGGCUGGCUGUCCGCCAGUGUAAAUAACUGGGGAAGA